GACGAACGCUGGCGGCGUGCUUAACACAUGCAAGUCGAACGGAAAGGCCCCUUUCGUGGGGUACUCGAGUGGCGAACGGGUGAGUAACACGCGCGUAACCUGCCCUUGUCUUUGGGAUAACUUCAGGAAACUGGGGCUAAUACCGGAUAGGAGCUCCUGCUUCAUGGUGGGGGUUGGAAAGUUUCGGCGGUUGGGUAUUGACUCGCGGCUUAUCAGCUUGUUGUUGGGGUAGUGGCUUACCAAGGCUUUGACGGGAAGCCGGCCUGAGGAGGUGACCGGCCAAAGUGGGGCCGAGGUAAGGCCCAAGCGCCGAAGGGGGGGAACAGUGGGGAAGAUUGAACAAGGGGUGGGAGGCGGAUGCAGCAACGCCGGGGGCGGGAAGACGGCCUUCGGGGUGGAAAACGAAUUCGCUCGUGACGAAGCUUUGUGUGACGGUAGUGGGUAAAGAAGCACCGGCUAACUACGUG
rnacentral:rRNA from 1 species